CUACGUGCCAGCAGCCGCGGUAAUACGGAGGAUACGAGCGUUAUCCGGAAUUAUUGGGUUUAAAGGGUGCGUAGGUGGYGUAUUAAGUCAGUGGUGAGAAGCUGCAGCUCAACUGUAGUCUUGCCGUUGAAACUGAUAUGCUAGAGAGGAGACGAGGUAUGCGGAAUGUGUGGUGUAGCGGUGAAAUGCAUAGAUAUCACACAGAACGCCGAUUGCGAAGGCAGCGUACCAGGCUCCGUCUGACACUGAAGCACGAAAGCGUGGGGAUCAAACAGGAUUAGAUACCCUGGUAGUCCACGCAGUAAACGAUGAAUACUAGAUUUUUGCGAUAUAGUGUAAGAGUCUAAGCGAAAGCGAUAAGUAUUCCACCUGGGGAGUACGCCGGCAACGGUGAAACUCAAAGGAAUUGACGGGGGCCCGCACAAGCGGAGGGACAUGUGGUUUAAUUCGAUGAUACGCGAGGAACCUUACCCGGGAUUGAA
rnacentral:rRNA from 1 species